UUUUGAAUAGUUCAUCAGGUAGAACAAUCGAUACCAUCGAUAUGUAGUAGGUUCGAGUCCUACUUCAAAAACCA
rnacentral:tRNA from 1 species